GACGUAGGGCGCGAGCGUUGUCCGGAUUUAUUGGGCGUAAAGAGCUCGUAGGCGGCUUGUUACGUCGACUGUGAAACCCGCGGCUCAACCGCGGGCCUGCAGUCGAUACGGGCAGGCUAGAGUUCGGUAGGGGAGACUGGAAUUCCUGGUGUAGCGGUGGAAUGCGCAGAUAUCAGGAGGAACACCGAUGGCGAAGGCAGGUCACUGGGCCGCAACUGACGCUGAGGAGCGAAAGCAUGGGAGCGAACAGG
rnacentral:rRNA from 1 species